rnacentral:lncRNA from 1 species
CUACACAUUCUGACUAAAAUUUAAGUAAGAAAUCCAUUUCUGAAAGUAGUAUAGACAGAAUUGUGAUGGUAUGACAAGUAAUAGCACAGUGAAGUUUAAUAUUUCAAUAUCUUAAACCACAAAAUUAUGCAUUUAUACACCAAUGGAUUUACAGAGCAAAGUUGCCAGAAAUACUAAACUGAAGUAUAAAAUUAAUAUAUCUUCAGGUCAAAUCACCGGGCAUCAAAAACCACCAAUCUUUUUGUUCUUUUCUUGUACAUUAUUCUGUACCCACAUUCUCGGCAUCUGAUUGGAUCUCUUGCUUUUAUUUCAUUUUCCGUAUGACAUUCUCCACAAAUGUAAAUCAUUGGCUGCUGCUUGGGAGGCUGAACAUCCUUCUGUGAAUCCAUGUUCUCUUGGCGCUUGAAAACAACGGCACCAGGCACCCCCUCAGCCCGCCUCGGUUCAGCGCCA